GGGCAGAGGCAAGGAGAGGGAGCUUGGACCGAGGGGAAUCCAAGCAGAAACUUGGGAGAGAAACGGUGUGAGGGGUAUUCAGGAUAGUGGAUUAGGAGCUCCAGGAGAGCUUGAGUCAGAUUUUGUGUUGCUAGGCUGCAGCAGGCAGUGGAAGCCGCUCUCAGGCUGAUAGGUCACUUGGGUUCACAUCCUGCCCCUCACUGCCUGCGAGGCCUCAGGCGAGUUUUUGAUCUUUCUGAGCCUCUGUUUCCUCAUCCGCUGUGUGAGGGGUACUAGGAGUGGCUAUCUUGCUGGGCGUGGUGAGGACUGGACACCCUGGAGGGUGCUGGGCACAGGACAAUCACCCAGUGACUGGUGGUCUUUAUGAAUGUGUGUACACCUGCCCUCAGCUCCCAGAUGUAUAAAUAAAAGGACAGAGCUUCAGGGAACACCAGGGACCUACACUACAGUCCAGUGGGGAGCCAAGAGGAACACGAAGAGCUGGGCCCGAAGACCAGCAUGAGACCAGAUGGGCAUGUCAGACUCUGCCCUGGAUCAGGAAAACCUUCCCAUGGGAGGUGUUGUUUUAUCCAAACCCGAAGGGCCAUAGAAUUUAAUAAAGAAACAUAACAUCAAUAGCAA